AUGGAGGUUGCUGCUGGGGCAAUGGGCCCUGUCAUCCGUAAGCUCGGGGAGCUGCUCGUCCGAGAAUGCAGCCUGAAGAAGCGAGUAAAGACAGGUGUUCAAUCACUCCUUACCGAGCUGGAGCUGAUGCAUGCCGUACUUCGUAAGGUUGGCGAGGUGCCACCGGACCAGCUCGAGGAGCCUGUCCGGAUUUGGGCCGGCAAGGUGAGAGACCUCUCUUGCGACAUGGAAGACGCUGUUGACGACUUCCUGGUCCGUGUGGAUGAGGGUUCAAGUAGCAAGCCAACGGACAUGAGGAGUCGAGUCAAAAAGUUCCUCAAGAAGACCACCACAUUGUUUGGCAAGGGCAAAGCACUUCAUCAAAUCUGUCAUGCCAUCAAAGAAGCUCAAGAUCUUGCCAAGGAUUUGGCAGACCUGCGUAACAAGUACAAGCUUGACAUGUGUAGCACUAGCAAUGGUGCUACCAUUGACCCUCGUGUGUUAGCUCUGCACAAACAUGUAGGGGAGCUUGUUGGCAUUGAACGCACAAGGGAUGAGCUUGUCAAAACAAUUAUUUGUGAGGACGGGAGUUCCGAGGAGCAACUGAGGACAAGAUCUAUUGUUGGUGUUGGUGGGCUGGGCAAGACAACCCUGACCAAAGCAGUUUAUGAGAAGAUCAAAGGACAAUUUGAUUGUGCAGCUUUUGUCCCCGUGGGUCAGAACCCAGACAUGCGGAAAGUUUUCAAGGACGUACUCUAUGGCCUUGACGAAGAGAAGUUCAAGGACAUACAUAAUACAACAAGAUGUGAAAAGCUACUCAUCGAGCAAAUAAGUAAAUUCCUUGUGGAUAAGAGGUACCUCAUUGUAAUCGAUGAUAUAUGGGAAAAAGACAUAUGGAAAUAUAUAGAUUGUGCUCUGUAUAAAAAUGAGCUCCAAAGUCGGGUAAUCACAACAACCCGUAAUGUGAGUGUGUCUGAAGCAUGUCUGUCUUCCACUAAUGGCACAAUUCAUAGAAUGAAACCUCUUUCUGAUGAAGACUCGCAAAUACUCUUCCAUAGAAGAAUAUUUCAAAGCAAGGAGAAAUGUCCAGAAAAUUUGAAGUUAGUAUCAAGAGAUAUAUUGAAGAAAUGUGGUGGUGUACCAUUAGCCAUCAUUACAAUAGCUAGCCUCCUGGUUAGUAAUCAGCAGGUAAAGCCAAACCAUGAGUGGAUGGAUGUGUACAAUUCGAUGGGCCGUGGAGUUACACAAAGUGAUAUCGCGAAGGACAUGAAGAGGAUAUUAUCACUCAGCUAUUAUGAUUUGCCAUCGCAUCUGAAGCCUUGUUUAUUAUAUCUAAGCAUCUUUCCUGAAGACUUUGAGAUUCAGAGAGAUUUGUUGAUAUGGAGGUGGCUUGCUGAAGGGUUUAUCCAAUGUGACAAAGAAGAAACCAGACUGUUUGAGAUAGGAGAGAGCUACUUCAACGAGCUUAUGAACAGGAGCUUGAUCCAGCCAGCAAAAAUCAAUGAGGAAGGGACGGUAGUAACUUGCCGUAUACAUGAUAUGGUGCUUGACCUUAUAUGCUCACUGUCAAGUGAGGAGAAUUUUAUCUCCAUAUUGGAUAAUGAUGAGUGGUAUGCACCUAAUUUGUAUAGGAAAUUUCGUAGGUUAUCACUUCAUAAUAUCAAGGCAAAUGUUCAGAACCAUCAAUCUGAUAGCACUAGCCUGUCAAAAGUGAGGACCUUUGCUUUUUUUUCUCGGGUUACUUGUGAUUGGUUGCCAUCUCUCUCAAGCUUCCAAUUUUUACGUGUGCUGGAUCUUGGAAAUUGUGGCAGACGUGAACGUUGCUCUGGUAUCAACCUCAAGUAUGUAGGGAGUUUAAUUCACCUAAGGUACCUAGGGCUCAGGAAUGCAGAUGUUCACGAACUCCCAAUUGACAUAGGCAAGUUAAAGUUUUUGCAGACACUAGACAUACAUGGAAGUGGAAUAAAAGAAUUACCUGCAAGUUUUGUGCAGCUAAGAAAUUUGAUAUGCCUAUAUGCAUAUAUGCAUAGUGGCUUGAGGCUGCCAAAAGGAAUGGGGAACUUGACAUGCCUCGAAGUGUUGGAGGAAGUAAAUGUAAUCUCAUCUCCUCACAUUGUGAAAGAGUUGAGCCAUCUGACAGAGCUUAGGACGCUCAGUGUGGGCUUUACUGAACAGGAUGAGGAUCUUUUCAGUAUAUUAAUCAAAUCUUUAGGCAACCUGCAGAAAUUGCAAAAUCUGUCUAUUUGGUCUAAUUGCAGAUUGAUAGAUCACAUGCGUGAAGGAUGGGUGCCCCCUCCACACCUCCGCAGUUUUGAGCCACCGCUCAGCCGAUAUGGGUUCUUCUUGACACUUCCAAAGUGGGUUAAUUCGACGUCCCUUCCCCACCUCUCCAGCCUGUUAAUACUUGUGGAAGAACUGCAAGGGGAUGAUAUUCAGAUCAUUGGGAUGUUGCCUUCUCUUCGGUUUCUGCAGUUGUUUGCAUAUGAUGUGAUGGGACCAUUGGUUGUGAGGGCCGAUGCAUUCCCAUCUGCGAGAUGCUGCAAGUUCGACGGGUUUCUGACGGCACCGUGCCUUUUUCCAGCUGGAGCUAUGCAAGGGUUCAGUGCCUUGAGUUCGAGGUAUGUGUGCAGCCUAUCGCGAGUGGUGAGGUUGACUGCAGCAUGGGCCACCUCCCUUCUCUCGAGUAUGUCAAUGUUGAACUGA
rnacentral:rRNA from 1 species